rnacentral:rRNA from 1 species
UACGUAGGGGGCUAGCGUUGUCCGGAUUUAUUGGGCGUAAAGAGCGUGUAGGCGGCCAGACAAAUCUGCUGUGAAAACUCGAGGCUCAACCUCGAGCUGUCGGUGGAACUGUCUGCUAGAGUCCGGAAGAGGAGAGUGGAAUUCCUGGUGUAGCGGUGAAAUGCGCAGAUAUCAGGAAGAACACCUAUGGCGAAGGCAGCUCUCUGGGACGGUACUGACGCUGAGACGCGAAAGCGUGGGGAGCGAACAGG